GUGAAAUACCACCACCUAGAUCAAUAGUUACAGUUCACUAUGAGGGAUAUUUAUCUAAUCAGGUUUUAUUCGAUUCAUCAGUACAA